CCUCCUUACUAUUACGUCGAUGACGCCCUUGAUGCAGUGCCUACACAGAUUGUUUUGUCUAGAAAAUAAAGAACGACACAAGUUUAUGGGGCUAUAGCUCAGCUGGGAGAGCGCCUGAUUUGCAUUCAGGAGGUCAGCAGUUCGAUCCUGCUUAGCUCCACCAUCUACUUGAUUCUGAGCUUGAAUAAGCGAAGUGACUGAAAGCUUUUAGUUCGGUUGGUUGGAGCCCUGCCCUCAAAUAAGAGCGGUAAGGUCACAACGCCGACCAGCUUGAAAAAUAAGCUUGUAGCUCAGCUGGUUAGAGCGCACCCCUGAUAAGGGUGAGGUCGGCAGUUCAAGUCUGCCCAAGCCUACCAAUUCUACUUGGGUUUGCUAUUUUCAAUCGCUGCCAUACUCAUGUGCUAGCGCACACUGCGUUUCUCGCGUUGAAACUACCUUCCCCAAACGAAUUGGAUGAAUGCUUAAGUAGAGUGUCAACUGAUAGUGAAAUCCUAAUGAAUAUUUACUUUUUAAGUAAGCAUUGAU
rnacentral:tRNA from 1 species